rnacentral:rRNA from 1 species
UACGUAGGCAGCAAGCGUUGUUCGGAAUUACUGGGCGUAAAGAGUGUGUAGGUGGUGUCGUAAGUUUGGUGUGAAAUCUCCCGGCUUAACUGGGAGGGUGCGCCGAAGACUGCGAUGCUGGAGUAUGGGAGAGGAAAGCGGAAUUCCUGGUGUAGCGGUGAAAUGCGCAGAUAUCAGGAAGAACACCCGUGGCGAAGGCGGCUCUCUGGGACGGUACUGACGCUGAGACGCGAAAGCGUGGGGAGCGAACAGG